rnacentral:rRNA from 1 species
UACGAAGGGUGCAAGCGUUAAUCGGAAUUACUGGGCGUAAAGGGUGCGUAGGCGGUUGUUUAAGUCUGUCGUGAAAUCCCCGGGCUCAACCUGGGAAUGGCGAUGGAUACUGGGCAGCUAGAGUGUGUCAGAGGAUGGUGGAAUUCCCGGUGUAGCGGUGAAAUGCGUAGAGAUCGGGAGGAACAUCAGUGGCGAAAGCGGCCAUCUGGGACAAAACUGACGCUGAAGCACGAAAGCGUGGGGAGCAAACAGG